UACGUAGGGGGCUAGCGUUGUCCGGAAUCAUUGGGCGUAAAGCGCGUGUAGGCGGCCCGGUAAGUCCGCUGUGAAAGUCGGGGGCUCAACCCUCGGAUGCCGGUGGAUACUGUCGGGCUCGAGUACGGAAGAGGCGAGUGGAAUUCCUGGUGUAGCGGUGAAAUGCGCAAAUAUCAGGAGGAACACCAAUUGCGAAGGCAGCUCGCUGGGACGUUACUGACGCUGAGACGCGAAAGCGUGGGGAGCAAACAGG
rnacentral:rRNA from 1 species